UCGGGAAUUUUGGGCAAUGGGCGAAAGCCUGACCCAGCAACGCCGCGUGAGGGAUGAAGUAUUUCGGUAUGUAAACCUCGAAAGAAUGGGAAGAAUAAAUGACGGUACCAUUUAUAAGCUCCGGCUAACUACGUGCCAGCAGCCGCGGUAAUACGUAGGGAGCAAGCGUUGUUCGGAUUUACUGGGCGUAAAGGGCGCGUAGGCGGCGCGGUAAGUCACUUGUGAAAUCUCCGAGCUUAACUCAGAACGGCCAAGUGAUACUGCUGUGCUAGAGUGCGGAAGAGGCAACCGGAAUUCUUGGUGUAGCGGUGAAAUGCGUAGAUAUCAAGAGGAACACCUGAGGCGAAGGCGGGUUGCUGGGCCGACACUGACGCUGAUGCGCGAAAGCCAGGGGAGCAAACG
rnacentral:rRNA from 1 species